AAACAUCUAUCUUGCUGUGUUUGGACAGGCCAGCCCCUGAAACAUCUUGGGCAAUGGAGGGUUAACUUCUCAAAGUUUAAUAGGCAAGACCAGCAACCAUGCAACAAGACUUCAACUAACCAACUAAAGAACUGUUCCCCAGAGCAUUGUUCCUGAGAAGGAAAAGAGUCCAAACACCUACCCACACCUGCUUUGUGCCAAGAAUCCACAGUUGGAUUGCAAGGACAGUCGUUCAAGACCCAGCUGUUGAGAGUAGAAAAGCAGAAGAAAGGACCCGAGGUCAGCAAGUGCCCUCCCCACAAUGGGGCAGAUCUGCCAGCGAGAAUCGCUACAGCAGCUGAAAAACCAAAACUUCAUCUACUUGCUGAAAGUGAGGUAAGAAAGCUAUUUUUU
rnacentral:lncRNA from 1 species